rnacentral:misc_RNA from 1 species
UUUCCGUAGGUGAACCUGCGGAAGGAUCAUUACAGAGUUAAUGCUCGUAAGGGUAGACCCCCCACCCUCGUGCAUUAUUACUUUGUUGCUUUGGCGCGCGCAGCUCACCAGAGAAUACCAAAACUCUUUUUAUUAAUGUCGUCUGAGUACUAUAUACUAGUUAAUACUUUCAACAACGGAUCUCUUGGUUCUG